AAAUACAUAGCUUAGCGGCUAAAGCACUGGUUUCAUAAGCCAGCUAUCAACAGUUCGAGUCUGUUUGUAUUUA
rnacentral:tRNA from 1 species